rnacentral:rRNA from 1 species
AUUGAACGCUGGCGGAAUGCUUUACACAUGCAAGUCGAACGGCAGCACGGACUUCGGUCUGGUGGCGAGUGGCGAACGGGUGAGUAAUGUAUCGGAACGUGCCCAGUCGUGGGGGAUAACGUAGUGAAAAUUACGCUAAUACCGCAUACGAUCUAUGGAUGAAAGCGGGGGAUCGCACGACCUUGCGCGAUUGGAGCGGCCGAUAUCAGAUUAGGUAGUUGGUGGGGUAAAGGCCCACCAAGCCAACGAUCUGGAGCUGGUCUGAGAGGACGACCAGCCACACUGGAACUGAGACACGGUCCAGACUCCUACGGGAGGCAGCAGUGGGGAAUUUUGGACAAUGGGCGAAAGCCUGAUCCAGCCAUUCCGCGCGCAGGAUGAAGGCCCUCGGGUCGUAAACUGCUUUUGUACAGAACGAAAAGGUUUCUACUAAUACUAGGAGCUCAUGACGGUACUGUAAGAAUAAGCACCGGCUAACUACGUGCCAGCAGCCGCCGUAA